UAGGGAAUCUUCCGCAAUGGGCGAAAGCCUGACGGAGCAACGCCGCGUGAGUGAUGAAGGUCUUCGGAUCGUAAAACUCUGUUAUUAGGGAAGAACAAAGGUGUAAGUAACUAUGCACGUCUUGACGGUACCUAAUCAGAAAGCCACGGCUAACUACGUGCCAGCAGCCGCGGUAAUACGUAGGUGGCAAGCGUUAUCCGGAAUUAUUGGGCGUAAAGCGGGCGUAGGCGGUUUUUUAAGUCUGAUGUGAAAGCCCACGGCUCAACCGUGGAGGGUCAUUGGAAACUGGAAAACUUGAGUGCAGAAGAGGAAAGUGGAAUUCCAUGUGUAGCGGUGAAAGGCGCAGAGAUAUGGAGGAACACCAGUGGCGAAGGCGACUUUCUGGUCUGUAACUGACGCUGAUGUGCGAAAGCGUGGGGAUCAAACAGG
rnacentral:rRNA from 1 species